GUGGUCUCCCUCUGCUAGACCCUCCCUAAAGCCUUCACUUCCCAGGAGGAGGCUUUCCUGUCUAUUUUUGAAAUCCCCUUCCUGCCCCUUUUCCCAGGCGAGGUUCUGCUCACUCACUGGGACUUGCUGCUGCCGCAAGCAGUGAGGACAGCCACAGCGUCUCGGGGAGACCAAGCAGCCGCAGGGCUUUGAGUCUGUAUUCCAGGGGUGGGCCAGCCGGGCUUAGAUUUCACAGGCUGGGCAGAGCGGCCGCUGGUCGCCGCGUGAAUUCCGGCCGCCUUCUCCGACCACGGAAUCCAAUGGCCGGAUCCCUGUGCUGCUCAGCAUUUCCCCCUUUCGGCCCAGCCUCGCCCAGUUCCCGAUGAUGGGUGCAAGCUGAAAAAACACCCCGCGUCUCAGACUUCCCCAGCUGCUGUUCCAGCGGCCCGAGCAUCUAUUUAAGUCGAGGUGUUUUCCUUUGUGUGGUUAGCAAGUCUGCUGACCGUGGAGCAGUGUGUGCGAAUAUGAUGCUUACAAUCACACACGUGUCCACCCACAGACAUAGCUACGCUCCCAAGCACCUAGUCACUCCUGCACUCGCCCUCAUGUCUUCCUGAUGUUUUCCUUGGAAGCCAGGCCACCCAGAGGGCGUGGAGGAGAGGCUUGGAGACGUCAAGGGGAGGUGGAACGUCCGCUGCAGGUCCAUUCUUCAGUGUGUGUCUCUGCCAGGAGGGUCUGUGUAUGCGCAUCUGAAUAAUGUCAGCAGCAAAGAUAAGCCGGGAAGGGAUGGCCAAGGGACAGGUACACCGCAGAGCGAUGUCUCGUUUUGUGUGUCCACUGGGCCCGGCUCAAGGAUGCCCAGCAGCUAGUACAGCAUCCCCUCUGGGGGUUUCUGUGAGGUGUCACAGGAAGAGAUUGGCAUUUGAAUCGGAAGGCUAAAGCAGGUGGCCCUCACCCAUGCCAUGUGGUGGGCAUCACCCAAUGCAUUGACAGCCUGAACAGAACAAAAGGAGGGAGUGAGGGUGGAUUUGUUCCCCUGAGGCAUCCACCUUCUCCUGCCCUCAGACGUGGUAGCUCGCAGUUCUCAGGCUUCCAAACUCAACCUAGGGCUUCCCACCACCGCCCCUCCCCCAGUGCUCAGGCCUUUGACUCAAACUGAAUUCACCAUCAGCUACCCCAGUUCUCCAGCACAAAGACAGCAGACUGGGCCCUGUUACUGUGUGAGCUAAUUCCUGUCACAAACCCAUAUAGGAACUGUGUGUGAGCACGUAUGGACAGCUGACCCUGUGUGUGUGUGUGUGUGUGUGUGUGUGUAUACAGUUGGCCCUUGAACAGCAGAGUUUGAACAGCACAGGUCCACUUACAAAAUAAAUACGGUAGCCCUAGCCAGUUUGGCUCAGUAGAUAGAGCGUAGGCCUGUGGACCAAAGGGUCCUGGGUUCAAUUCUGGUCAAGGGCAUAUACCUUGGUUGCAGACUGCUCCCCAGCCCGGGCCCUGGUCAGGGCUCAUGCAGGAGGCAACCAAUUGAUGUGUUUCUCUUACAUCAAUGUUUCUCUCUGUCUUUCCCUCUCUCUUUCACUCUCCCUAAAAAAAAAAAAAAAUCAAUGGGAAAAUAUCCUUGGGUGAGGAUUAACAACAACAAAAAUAAAGGAAUAAAUAAAAUAAAUACAGUAAAUGUAAUUUCCUUAUGAUUUUUCUAAUUUUCUCUAUUCUUUGCUGUAAGAAUACAGGAUAUAAUACAUACAGAAUAUAAUACAACAUAUGUGUUAAUUGACUCUGUUAUCAGUAAGGCUUUUGGUCAACAGCAGGCUAUUAGGUGUUAAGCUUUGGGGGAGUUAUCCGUGGCUUUUCCACUGUGCAGGGGUCAGCGCACCCCUAACCCCUGCAUUUUGUAUGCGUGUGUAUCCCAUCGGUUCUAUUUCCCUGCAGAAUCCUGAAUCAUACAGCCAGCCUUGGAUUGGACUGAGGUUUGUAAGUUUAACUUAUAAAAGGAAAUGACAAAACCAGAGUGCUUGGGUAGCGGCUGCUCCGAAACGUGCUUGUUGGCAGGUGAAGGAACUUGCGUCGUCGCUGGGUUUCCAGAUAACAUCGCGGUGAGCAGCGGAGUGGAGUUGCCUUUUAAGCUUAGGACAGUGGCGUCAGCACAGUGCCCCUCAGCGGCUGCCACCGGUGUCAUGCACUCACCCCCAGUGGGUGCAACAAAGCUGCCCCCAGAUGGGGAAAUGAGAAGUUUGACAAGCUAAAGACUCAGGAAAGCUUGUGCUGACUAAAGAAAAGACCUUCAGUUGGGUUCCCUGGUGGUGUAUGCCUAUUGUCACAUCAGGGCCACCGCUGGCACCACUGGCUGAUAAAAUCCAUCUCUGUAAGGCAUUUGGAGGUGGUCUUCAACUUUUCAGUUGGAAGAGGCCGCACCUAAUUUUGAUCUCUCUCUGAUAAUUUGUGGCAAAAUCUGCCGGGGGAUGAUGCGUCCUUCUGCGAUUCCAGCGUGGGCUUUAGGAGAACAAAGCUGCUUAGGAAAGAGGCGCCCUGCACUGUAGGGGCCCCUCCCUGGGGCCCUUCCACCGGGACCAUGCCCAAGCCAGCUCAGAAACGGUGUCAUGGGCCUGUGAGGACAGGAAGAAGCAGAAGACGCUACCCCUGCCUGAGAGGUUCACUAUUUCACGGGGCGGGGGGGAAAGCUUCCCACCUGAGAAGCGCAUCGCUGUGUGCUCGAUGGCUGUUCCGGAACCUCCAAAAAGGGAAGGAUGGUCAGGGAUGGACAGAGCAGGAAAAGUUCCCAGAGCCAGUGGGCCCUGGGGACGGAACGGCAGUCUGAGUACUGAUACAGCCGUACCCAGGCGAAGACACAAGGUACCCUGGGCUGGCUCAAUCGGACAUGUCUGCGUGGAAAGUGGUCUGUGCUGGACUGGUGGGCUAGCCUUAGGCUGAGGUACUGGAGGCCAUGGAUGGCCCACCCUGUGGUCCUCACAACACAAUAUUGCUGCUUCUCAGUGGGGUCUCGGCUGUCUCUGAGGCAGAACAUGGAUGCUUUUGGUUGUCCAGUGACUGGAGGACACCACAGGUCUUCAGCAGGCGUCCAGGGUACAUGGGAAUACAAGAUGUCCCGCAGCACACAGGCAAGUUCUGAACGAUGAACCAUGACUCUGGGGUCCUCGAUUUCUAACUCUCCCACUGGAUAUUCAUUUAAGUGAACAAUCCGUAAGUCUCUGAACCUAGAAUCUAACUCGUUUCCAUAUACAUACACAUAGUUUUUCUCCAUUUAGUACUCAGUUUCACAAGAAUGUAACCAUAUAAAUAAAAAUGUUGUACAACUUUUGUUUUGUUGGAACUUGACUGAGUUGUUUCAUUUCAGAAAAUCACAUCUCUGAAGGCAAUAGUAUUCGUAGAAUUUGAGUUAUUACUCUGCAUUAAUAGCCCAUUAAUGGUGACUCUGCAAAAUGUAGUCAAGCAUCUGAUUA